rnacentral:rRNA from 1 species
CCACCUUUGACAUGGCAGGAAGGCUUCAGAGAUGAGGCUGUGCUCGAAAGAGAACCUGCACACAGGUGCUGCAUGGCUGUCGUCAGCUCGUGUCGUGAGAUGUUGGGUUAAGUCCCGCAACGAGCGCAACCCUUGCCAUUAGUUGCUACGAAAGGGCACUCUAAUGGGACUGCCGGUGACAAGCCGGAGGAAGGUGGGGAUGACGUCAAGUCCUCAUGGCCCUUAUAGGUGGGGCUACACACGUCAUACAAUGGCCGGUACAAAGGGCAGCCAACCCGCGAGGGGGAGCCAAUCCCAUAAAGCCGGUCGUAGUCCGGAUCGCAGUCUGCAACUCGACUGCGUGAAGUCGGAAUCGCUAGUAAUCGUGGAUCAGCAUGUCACGGUGAAUACGUUCCC